AGUGAACGCUGGCGGCGUGCUUAACACAUGCAAGUCGAACGAAGCCUUCGGGCUUAGUGGCGGACGGGUGAGUAACACGUGGGAACGUACCUUUUGGUUCGGAACAACUCAGGGAAACUUGAGCUAAUACCGGAUGAGCCCUUAGGGGGAAAGAUUUAUCGCCGAAAGAGCGGCCCGCGUUAGAUUAGCUAGUUGGUGAGGUAAAGGUUCACCAAGGCAACGAGCUAUAGCUGGUCUGAGAGGAUGAUCAGCCACACUGGGACUGAGACACGGCCCAGACUCCUACGGGAGGCAGCAGUGGGGAAUCUUGCGCAAUGGGCGAAAGCCUGACGCAGCCAUGCCGCGUGAAUGAUGAAGGUCUUAGGAUUGUAAAAUUCUCUUCCCAGGGACGAUAAUGACGGUACCUGGAGAAAAAGCCCCGGCUAACUUCGUGCCAGCCGCCGCCGUAA
rnacentral:rRNA from 1 species